AACGUAGGAGACAAACGUUAUCCGGAGUUACUGGGCGUAAAGGGCGUGCAGGUGGCUUGAUAAGUUCGGCGUGAAAUCUCCCGGCUCAACUGGGAGGGUGCGCCGAAAACUGGAAGGCUAGAGUGCGGGAUGGGAGAGUGGAAUUCUUGGUGUAGCGGUGAAAUGCGUAGAUAUCAAGAGGAACACCUGCGGCGAAGGCGGGUUGCUGGGCCGACACUGACGCUGAUGCGCGAAAGCCAGGGGAGCGAACGGG
rnacentral:rRNA from 1 species